AUGGUUAAAAGGACAUCUCACAAGCCAAAUUAAGACUUGGACUUCGGCAUUGCUUGUGUCUGAUGAGUGUUUGACACGUUCACUUUGUGUCAGGUGCUCUCUCCCCUGUGAGAUGUGUCUAGUGGUAGUAAGUGCUGUGGAGGGGUUGGAAUGAGGUAGCAAUGCUGUCAGAUAGUAUGUGCUGUCUACUGAGAUGUCUAACAUGUUUUGUAUGCUUUAAUAUAGAGGUUUUCUACCAUAGCUGGUUUUCCUUCUUUCCCUGUCUUAUAAAAGGAUUUCUUCUGCUUUUUAAAAAGAAACAAAUCUUAUUUUUCUUUAGGUAUAGGUCUUAUGUCAUAGCUCCACAUCAGCUCUCUUAGUGCUUGUCACUGAUUUGUUCCUUAGUUAUUAUAUAGUGCUUUCCUGAGAACAGGACUGCUAGCACAACAGGAUCAGAGUUUGUAUGUUAGGUGGCGUGAAGGUAAUUUAAGGGUAUUAGAGUUAGUAAGUCUGCAGGCUGACUCUUGUAGUGUGCCGCCUAUCUCCACCCCAGGCCAUCUUUCUUUUGUUGCUUUGUGAGUUACCUGCAUGUACUGAUGACAUUGCAAAGGUUGAUAGGCAUUCUCUAGGAAAUCUACCAUAUCUCCUGAGGAAUUCAGGAAGUUGAGCUAAAAUGUCAAGCUUAACAAAAUAAAAGCUGAUGAAAACAACUUUAUGGCUAGAGGAUUUCCUGUUCUGGAUAACUUCCCAACUACUAAUCUUCAGUUUCGUGGCUAAGCGGACCUCACCUCAGGCAUUCGAGGUAGAGGAAGGCUGCUGUCUUUCAGCAUAGGUAGGAAAAAUACUACCAUUUACUCGCUUUAUGAGGUUUUUCGUUUUCUGCUCAAACUAAUUUUUUGUAUCAAGUACAGUAAUACUUUGAUUCUUGUUCCUGUAUAUUCUGCACUAUGAGUGUAAUUAACUAAGGAAACUGGAACAGUUAAGUAUUUUAAUAAAUGCCGAUGUAUCUUG
rnacentral:lncRNA from 1 species